GACAGAGGCCCCGAGCGUUAAUCGGAAUUACUGGGCUUAAAGGGUGCGUAGGUGGACCAGCAAGUGCUUUGUGAAAGCCCCCGGCUCAACCGGGGAACAGCGGGGCAUACUGCUGGUCUUGAGGAAGGUAGGGGCCGCGAGAACUGUAGGUGGAGCGGUGAAAUGCGUAGAUAUCUACAGGAAUGCCGAUGGUGAAGACGCGCGGCUGGGCCUUUCCUGACACUGAGAGACGAAAGCUAGGGGAGCAAAUGGG
rnacentral:rRNA from 1 species